CGGGAGGCAGCAGUGGGGAAUCUUAGACAAUGGGGGCAACCCUGAUCUAGCCAUGCCGCGUGAGUGAUGAAGGCCUUAGGGUCGUAAAGCUCUUUCGCCUGUGAUGAUAAUGACAGUAGCAGGUAAAGAAACCCCGGCUAACUCCGUGCCAGCAGCCGCGGUAAUACGGAGGGGGUUAGCGUUGUUCGGAAUUACUGGGCGUAAAGCGCGCGUAGGCGGAUUAGAAAGUUGGGGGUGAAAUCCCGAGGCUCAACCUCGGAACUGCCUCCAAAACUGCUAGUCUAGAGUUCGAGAGAGGUGAGUGGAAUUCCGAGUGUAGAGGUGAAAUUCGUAGAUAUUCGGAGGAACACCAGUGGCGAAGGCGGCUCACUGGCUCGAUACUGACGCUGAGGUGCGAAAGUGUGGGGAGCAAACAGGAUUAGAUACCCUGGUAGUCCACACCGUAAACGAUGAAUGCCAGUCGUCGGGUAGUAUACUAUUCGGUGACACACCUAACGGAUUAAGCAUUCCGCCUGGGGAGUACGGUCGCAAGAUUAAAACUCAAAGGAAUUG
rnacentral:rRNA from 1 species